GAAUCUGCCUAAAGGUCGGGGACAACCCACUGGAAACGGUGGCUAAUACCGGAUAAGCCGCGGGUAAAAGAUAAAUUGCCAAGAGAGGAGCUCGCGUCUGAUUAGUUAGUUGGUGAGGUAAAGGCUCACCAAGGCGGCGAUCAGUAGCUGGUCUGAGAGGAUGAUCAGCCACACUGGGACUGAGACACGGCCCAGACUCCUACGGGAGGCAGCAGUGAGGAAUUUUCCGCAAUGGGCGAAAGCCUGACGGAGCAAUACCGCGUGAGGGAGGAAGGUUUAUGGGUUGUAAACCUCUUUUAUCAAGAAAGAACUCUGACGGUACUUAAGGAAUAAGCAUCGGCUAACUCCGUGCCAGCAGCCGCGGUAAUACGGAGGAGGCAAGCGUUAUCCGGAAUUAUUGGGCGUAAAGCGUCCAUAGGUGGUUGUGUAAGUCUGCUGUCAAAGCACAUGGCUUAACCAGAUAAAGGCAGUGGAAACUACAAAACUGGAGUGCAGUAGGGGCAGAGGGAAUUCCCAGAGUAGCGGUGAAAUGCGUAGAGAUUGGGAAGAACACCGGUGGCGAAAGCGCUCUGCUGGACCUGCAACUGACACUCAGGGACGAAAGCUAGGGGAGCG
rnacentral:rRNA from 1 species